AGUGGGAUUGCUGGAUCAUAUGGUAGUUCUAUUUUUAAUCUUUUGAGGAACAUCCAUACUGUUUUUCAUAAUGUCUGUAUUAAUUUACACUUCCACCAACAGU
rnacentral:pre_miRNA from 1 species